AGCUGCUGGGUAUCCGCGCCGGAACCGCGAGGGGGUUGGUUCAGGCCUAGGCGCGGGGCAGGACGGGACCGGUGAGUGGCUCCUCCAAACAGCUAUAGAGACCCAGAAAUGCCUGUGGAAAGCUACAGAGGACUUGGGCAAGGCGUUAGAGCCGGACGUUGUGGUCCCUGGGGGAGCCAACCGGGGAGGUGCCUAUGAUCUUUCUUUCCAAGUUUGAGGGUUCAGGUCUGUGUUCGCCUGCUGGUUAGACCGAUUUAAGUUUUAGAGUCCCAGGAGUUCUGGGCGAGCUGCAGCCUAGGGGCCUGGAAGGCCAGGAAGACUUGAAGGAUCUGUGUUGGGCAAGCAGUUAAGAAGGGAAGAUGAACAUAAAGUAGGGAAGAGCAAAAAUGAGUUGGAACCUAAGACACGAGCUGGUCAUUCUUUCACUGUCUCCAACUUUAAAGAUAUGAGUAUCCUUGCUAGAGGAGCUGACACUUUUUGCCACAGGACUAGACACACACACAGCUCAGGAAUCAAAAAAGGUGAAGGAAGACUCAGGGAAAAGCUUCUGCCCCAUCCCAACAAGGUGAACCAGCUGAUUGGUGACAAAGUAGAUGAGCCGCAGUAGCACCUAGUGUCCCUGCACCACCGUUUCAAGUAUAAAACUGGAGGGAUGCUUCAGUUCUCCCCUUCAAGACUUACACAACCAUGUCUCUGUUGGGCUAUUCUAACCAGAAACAAAAGGAAAGGAAAUUCUGGGAAACAUAGUUUAGCUUAGCAAAGUUGAUAUAUUACAAAAUUACCACUGUCCACUCUGCAUCGAGUUGACAUCCAUACAGACCUCUUUAAAACACACUUUCAAAAUAAAGUCCACACCCUACACAUAAGCUAUCUCUAGAGAAAUUUGAAGUCUGUUGUGCACUGAGGAUAACCACAACAACAAACUGUAAACCUAGCCCAAUUUCUGACUAGACUGAUACCACCGAACCACUGCUAUGCACUCAAGAGCACUAAAGGCCUAGCAGAAGGAAAGACACACUCAUCUCCAAGCAUAAAAACAAUCUUUACUUCAUACUGUGAAGAGAGAAUUGAAAAAAUAAUUUAAGCAAAAAAAAUACAACAUGACUAACUUUUAACAGAAAGAAAAAAAGACGCAUACAGAAAGGCAAGAAAAAACACAGUCCAAAGAGAUAAAACAAUCAUUAGAACCAGAUUCAUAAGACAUAGACAUUAGAAAUAUGAGAGAAUUUUAAAUAACUGUGAUUAAUGUGAUGAAGGCCCUAAGGGGAAAGGUGAACAAAAUGCAAGCUCAGAUGGGUGAUUUUAGCAAAUAGAUGGAAACUAUCAGGAAAAAUAAAAUGGAAACUAUAAAAAUAAAAAAUAUAAUAAUAGAGAUGAAGAAUGCCCUCCAUGGGCCCAUUAGGAGACUGAACACAGUUGAGGAAAAAAUCAGACUUGAAGGUAGGUAAAUAGAAAUUGCUGAAACACACACACACACACACACAAAAAGAGUGACAGAAACAGAACACAGCAUCCAAGACUGGUGGGAAAAUAUCAACAUCAAAUCAAGAAAUAGGCGCAGUGGCUCACCCCUGUAAUCCCAGCACUUGGGGAGGCCGAGGCAGGCAGAUCACGAGGUCAGGAGAUCGAGACCAUCCUAGCUAACGCAGUGAAACCCCGUCUCUACUAAAAAUUCAAAAAAAUUAGCCGGGCAUGGUAGCAGGCACCUGUCGUCCCAGCUACUCGGGAGGCUGAGGUAAGAGAAUUGCGUGAACCCGGGAGGCGGAGCUUGCAGUGAGCUGAGAUCACACCACUGCACUCCAGCCUGGGCGACAGAGCAAGACUCUAUCUCAAAAAAAAAAAAAAAAUCAAGAAAUAAUGGCUGAGAAUUUCCAAAAUUUGUAAGACACCAAACCAAUCCAAGGAGCUCAGAGAACACAGAGCAGGAUAAAUUCUUUAAAAAGAAACUAAGCUUAUUGUAUUCAAACUAAGCUUAUUGUAUUGAUACCUGGUAGUUAUAACUUACCAAAUACACUGCCCAACAUCUCCAGAUGAUCUAUUAUUUCUGAAAGUUUCCUUUAUUACAUUUCUUACUUCAGGGAGAUAUAGCCUUCGCUUCAUGUUAUGGUUGGUGCAGUCAGUAUUCUCAGAAAGAAAGUACUGGUUCCAUUUUACCUCCAUCUUUUGUUUCCUGUCAGAAAACCUACCAUACCACCAAGUACUCCUUCUCUACACUGCCUCUGAUAUUUAAGUAAUUUGAGAAUUCUGUUGAGACUAUCUCCCUUUUUUGGUAUGAUGAAUCUGGUCCUAAAUUGCAUGCCAAAGACUUUGAGAACUAAACUGUAGACCCAGAUCUCAUGUCCCAGACUGGCCUUUUGUUACCCACACAAUGAAUGGGUUAAAUUGCUUGGCAGGGGACAGUCCAAUGACCACAACCAAGGAGGAUUUCCCAGGGGGAUUUUAUUACUUGCGAUAAGUAAGGAGGACACUGGGAAUAAUUCCCCAAAGCAAUGCCUCCCUGAGCAAUGGUGCAAACAUGGCUUUUAUUAGUCUGGUUAGCUGAGUCAUUGUAUGUAGAGGUGGAGUCAAGGCAGCGCAGUCCCAGUUGUCGGUUAUGCUGCUACAUAUGUCACAUGUAUAGAAAAUGGUGAAUAAGCUCCUCCUUGGACAGGAUUUUAAGUAUGGUGAUGAGGAAAGUUGGCCAAAGUUCAUCUCCAACUCAGGCAUCUCUGGGUCCAACUGGUCUUUGUUUUUCCUGGGCUAAGCUUCUUCCUGGAACUUUUUAAAACAAAAAUUCAAGAUGUAACAGUUACAAGUGUGUAACUUUUUCACAGUGCGUACCCAAAACCCAAGGACCCUGGGUUACACUUUAGGUGCCACCCAUGUGGGACCUAUCAGAAGAGUACUACAAAGGCUUUGAAAACUGAACUGACAUUGGAACCACAACCCUCAGAAGGCUGGUCAAAACUUAUGACUUGAACCCAAAUGGGUUAAUUACCCUUUAAAACAUAAAUAUCAACAUCCUCCACCAAAUUUAACCAAGACCCAGAGCAUCCUAAUGACAUUCAAAAUGUCCAGGAUACAAUCGAUAUUAAUUGGCAGGUGAAGAACCAGGAAAAUCUCAACUCACGUUGGGAAAAAAUGUAACAGAUGCAGAAUGUAAGUUGCCACACAUGUUGGAAUUAUCAAGACUAUAAAGCUGCUAUUCAAAUGGAAAGUUUAAAAGUCUCAGAGAAGUAAUAGAAAAUACAAAGAAUAGCCCCAUGGAAAUUUUAGAACGGGAAAAUACAAAAACCGUCAUCACAUCAUAUCCGGGGCACAUGCUGUCAACAUUGCUCAUCACUGUUGAUGUUAACCUUGAUCACCCGGCUGAGGUAGUAUUUGAUGGGUUUCUCCCUGUAAAGUUAUUCUUUCCCCUCCCCCUAUUUUACUGUUUAGUGGGAAGUCACUAUGUGCAGCCCAUGCCUAAAAAGGGAGUAGUUGGUGGGCACGGUGGCUCACGCCUGUAAUCCCAGCACUUUGGGAGGCUGAGUGGGUGGAUCACCUGAGGUCAGGAGUUCGAGACCAGCUUGGCCGACAUGGUGAAACCCCGUCUCUGCUAAAAAUACAAAAAUUAGCCAGGCAUGGUGGUGCACGCCUGUAAUCCCAGCUAUUCAGGAGGCUGAGGCAGGAGAACUGCUUGAACCUGGGAGGCAGAGAUUGCAGUGAUCCUGCCAUUGCACUCCAGCCUGGGCGAUGAGCAAAAUUCCAUCUCAAAAGAAAAAAAAGUGAGUAGUUAUAUUUCCCCUCCUUGCGGUGGAGUAUCUACAUUCUUCUGCAUGAGAAAUUUGUCAGUUAUCUCCUAUUUAUUCAAUUAUUUAUAUUAUGAAUUCAUGGAUUCCUAUUUUAUACUUUGGGUAUAAUCCAAUACUAUGUUGUUUAUUUUACUGCUCAGAUUAUUCCUGUGUUGGCCAUUGGGAACUUUUUCAGUUGACAUCUGUGUCCCUUUGACAAACUCCUGUCAUUUUGUGGGGAAGAGGGAGUAGCACUUUCUUACUUUCUACCGCUACAAAAUCCUCCAGUCUUAUCUUGUAUUUCUCUUCCCUAACCCUAAAGUCAAUCAUUCUCAUUUCUCUAAUGAUAAAUGAUGUUAAACAUCUUUUCAUAUGCUUUCUUAUUAUCUGUAUAUCUUCUCUGAUGAUUACCAAGGAUGGGAAGGGUAGUAGGGGGAAAGUGGAGAUGGUUAAUGGGUACAAAAAAUAGAAUGAAUAAGAAUUAGUAGUUGAUAGCACAACAGGGUGAUUACAGUCAAAAAUAAUUGUACAUUAUAAAAUAACUAGUAUAAUUGGAUUAUUUAUAACAAAGGCUGAAGGCUUGAGGUGAUAAAUACCCCAUUUACCCUGAUGUGACUAUUACACAUUGCAUACCUGUAUCAAAAUACCUUGUAUACCCCAUAAAUAUAUAACCUACUAUGUACCCAUUUAAAUAAAAAAAGUUUUUAAAAAAGAAA